AUGUAUGUAUGUAUGUACCAAUCUUGAAUUCAAGCAUCUGCUUUUUAUGAUCUUUCAGAUGGACACGAGAAGAGGCAAUCAAUUUUAUAACGAACUACACAGAAUUUCCAAUCCAGCAGGUUGAGAUAGAAGUAGAUCGAUAUAUUACUUGGCCGGGCCAGGCGUGUACAUAUAAAAUUGGAGAAUUGAAAAUUAAAGAAUUAAGAAGUAUAGCUGAGAAAACUUUAGGUAAUUUAUUUAAUAUCAAAGACUUCCACCAUCAAAUUUUAAAAAACGGUCGAAUAUCGCUGGCUUUAUUGGAAGAAGUCAUCUUAGAAUGGAUCGACAAAGUGAAGCAAUCUGCAGCCGAUCAUUCAGGUGGCGCCACUGUAAAGUGGUUGAGCAGACGAUCAUCUUUCACUGUAAUGUCCACCAUCUUCACAAGUGUUUUACUGACGUCAUAUUCACACAUUUACCUUCCACUGAACAUUCUUUGACGAAACUGAAGAAAUAUCAAAACUAAAAUACCAUUUCGCAUUGAAAUAUUAUUCUAUUUAUUUAAUAAAUCUUUAAUGAAUUAUCACCACUCACCCACAAA